GACGAACGCUGGCGGCGUGCUUAACACAUGCAAGUCGAACGGAAAGGCCCUGCUUGUGUGGGGUGCUCGAGUGGCGAACGGGUGAGUAACACGUGAGUAACCUGCCCUUGACUUUGGGAUAACUUCAGGAAACUGGGGCUAAUACCGGAUAGGAGCUCCUGCUGCAUGGUGGGGGUUGGAAAGUUUCGGCGGUUGGGGAUGGACUCGCGGCUUAUCAGCUUGUUGGUGGGGUAGUGGCUUACCAAGGCUGUGACGGGUAGCCGGCCUGAGAGGGUGACCGGCCACAUUAGGACUGAGAUACGGCCCAGACUCCUACGGGAGGCAGCAGUGGGGAAUAUUGCACAAUGGGCGGAAGCCUGAUGCAGCAACGCCGCGUGCGGGAUGACGGCCUUCGGGUUGUAAACCGCUUUCGCCUGUGACGAAGCGUGAGUGACGGUAAUGGGUAAAGAAGCACCGGCUAACUACGUG
rnacentral:rRNA from 1 species